AGCAGCCGCGGUAAUUCCAGCUCCAAUAGCGUAUAUUAAAGUUGUUGCAGUUAAAAAGCUCGUAGUUGAAUUUCGGGAUCAAUAUGUUGGUCGUGCCUUGGUACGUACUGGCAUUAUCGAUUCCUACCUUCUGAAGAACCUCGAUGUCAUUAAUUUGGUGUCUUGGGGAAAUCAGGACUGUUACUUUGAAAAAAUUAGAGUGUUUAAAGCAGGCUCGCGCUUGAAUACAUUAGCAUGGAAUAAUGAAAUAGGACGUUUGAUUCUAUUUUGUUGGUUUCUAGGAUCGACGUAAUGAUUAAUAGGGAUAGUUAGGGGCAUUAGUAUUCAAUUGUCAGAGGUGAAAUUCUUGGAUUUAUUGAAGACUAACUACUGCGAAAGCAUUUGCCAAGGAUGUUUUCAUUAAUCAAGAACGAAAGUUAGGGGAUCGAAGACGAUCAGAUACCGUCGUAGUCUUAACCAUAAACUAUGCCGACUAGGGAUCGGAUGAUGUUAAUUUUUUCAAUGACUCAUUCGGCGCCUU
rnacentral:rRNA from 1 species